AUUGAACGCUGGCGGCAGGCUUAACACAUGCAAGUCGAGCGGAGAUGAGGUGCUUGCACCUUAUCUUAGCGGCGGACGGGUGAGUAAUGCUUAGGAAUCUGCCUAUUAGUGGGGGACAACAUUCCGAAAGGAAUGCUAAUACCGCAUACGUCCUACGGGAGAAGGCAGGGGAUCUUCGGACCUUGCGCUAAUAGAUGAGCCUAAGUCGGAUUAGCUAGUUGGUGGGGUAAAGGCCUACCAAGGCGACGAUAUGUAGCGGGUCUGAGAGGAUGAUCCGCCACACUGGGACUGAGACACGGCCCAGACUCCUACGGGAGGCAGCAGUGGGGAAUAUUGGACAAUGGGGGGAACCCUGAUCCAGCCAUGCCGCGUGUGUGAAGAAGGCCUUAUGGUUGUAAAGCACUUUAAGCGAGGAGGAGGCUACUGAGACUAAUACUCUUGGAUAGUGGACGUUACUCGCAGAAUAAGCACCGGCUAACUCUGUGCCAGCAGCCGCCGUAAAAC
rnacentral:rRNA from 1 species